GUGUUCCCGUGCCAGCACUGUGCUAACCUUGCAGAAACUAAAACCGUCUCUUGGCUUUUGUAAUAAUGCUUUCAGAAUACAUACAAGAAAAAAGGUAACAGCCCUAGAUUGUAAAGACUGGGGUGGACCUCUUUCUUUCUUUCUUUCUUUCUUUUUUUUUGAGUUGGAGUCUCACUC
rnacentral:snoRNA from 1 species